ensembl:ncRNA asRNA:CR44891 antisense RNA:CR44891
UCCAUCGGGGUUACAGGUGGGCAGGAAGUGGAUUUCGGUGAGAUUUAGUAGCGCCUGGACCUUCGGGUCCCCAUCGUAGUGGGUGGCCAGGUAUUCGGCCAUAUAGAGAACCAUCUGACGACCCACGGCUUCAUCGCCUUGUAUGUUGGCCACCAGUUUAACCAUUGGCCUUAGGAGAUCUCCAUUCUUGGACUCCCCGGUAGUGAGGACUCUCCAGGAAGUUGUCCUCUUCCUGGAUGACCCGGACUUCGCUGUAUUCUCCGACUGCGCAGCCGAUGAUCAAGGCUAGGCAGAAAAACAACAUUUUGGGGAUUCUCGGGGACUCUCCCGGAGCGCUCGCAGUUUCUGUACACGUAGGCAGGCAGCAAUGCGAUGAUUAAGACACAAAACGCAGGCGCGCCACUUUCAACAGAAAGUGGAUGCUGAAUGAAUGAACUAUUUUCCCCAGAACCACUUUCUUGAACUUUCUUAGUGCCAAUUUUUAAACUUGUGCCACAAAUGUGGGCACGCCACGCACACAAACGUAAAAAAACACCGACACACCGAUGCAAAGAUCUACGCACACCCAGAUGCGCGCACAAUAGAGCUGCAGUUAUUGCACUUUCUUUUCGUACACUUUUUUCGCAAUGAUCUUCUCGCCAGCCUAG